UACGGAGGGAGCUAGCGUUGUUCGGAAUUACUGGGCGUAAAGCGUACGUAGGCGGUUAUUCAAGUCAGAGGUGAAAGCCCGGGGCUCAACCCCGGAACGGCCUUUGAAACUAGGUAGCUAGAAUCUUGGAGAGGUCAGUGGAAUUCCGAGUGUAGAGGUGAAAUUCGUAGAUAUUCGGAAGAACACCAGUGGCGAAGGCGACUGACUGGACAAGUAUUGACGCUGAGGUACGAAAGCGUGGGGAGCAAACAGGG
rnacentral:rRNA from 1 species